CUUAGAGACCGGCGCACGGGUGAGUAACGCGUAUGCAACCUACCUUACACAUUGGGAUAGCCCGGAGAAAUUCGGAUUAAUACCUUAUAGAUUAUUGAUUUGGCAUCGGAUUAAUAAUAAAGAUUUAUCGGUGUAAGAUGGGCAUGCGUCUCAUUAGCUAGUUGGUAUGGUAACGGCAUACCAAGGCGAUGAUGAGUAGGGGUCCUGAGAGGGAGAUCCCCCACACUGGUACUGAGACACGGACCAG
rnacentral:rRNA from 1 species